AUGACUUCUGGCAUGAGCAAGACAGCUGGAGAGUGUACUUGGUGGGCCAUGCUCGCUUCAGAAAGGCAGUGGGAAAAUAUCUUGUCUGCGUGUGCCCACAGGCUUUGGCAAUGCAGCAAGAGCCUUGUCUGUGCAUGUGUGUGCCUCACUUGUAGUGAUUAUCAAGUAAAGCAAUGGUCUCUUUCUGCAGCUGUAAAAUCCAUGAUGCUACAGUUUUACAGCUUUAUUAGAGAGACAGAGACAGAGGGAGAUAACAUGCUUCAAAAAACAAGCCUUUGUGUUUGUGUCCAUCAUCAUCAUCAUCAUCAUCUCACAGCUGAACAAAUUGAAGACCCAAAAGGUAUCGGAUUUCUCUUGGUUCCAUAGCUAGUAAGUGGUGCUGGCAAGAUUGGAAUGCAGGUUUUGUCUGGUCUUUUAUUCCAAAAUGAACUAAUCACAUAGAAGCAAUAUAAAACUUAAAAUUUCUUCCCAAAACAUGGUGGGCGGCCUUUCAACUGCUUCCCUGGCUCCCGCCACACUCCCAGGAGGGAUAUGCCAGUGUGCUGUUCUGUUCAAAGAUCACCAGUUAAGACCUGGUGGAUUUGAGGUCGGCUCCCCGGGAGGGUUGGCUUUGCACUGCUCUGUGUGCACCCUCCCCCAGCAGCACACACCUGUCAGAUGGUGGCUGACUUGGGGGGGGUGGAAUCUGUGAUGGGAGAAUGGGUGAAGAGGCCCAUAUACAAGGGAAAUGGCCACAGAAAAGGCCCCACUAACACCCUGUUCAAAAGAACCUCUUCUCAACCUGGCAGGCAGGAGGAAGUUGUCCUUCAGAAGAGGAGCUGUGACCCAGAUGGAGGCCUGACAGGAAGGGGAGUGUCCUCAGGCAAGGACUUUGUGGUGUAUCUUGUGCCAUGGACCCCUCUGGGAAGUCUGUGGACCCAUCCAUAGAAGAACACUUCCAAAUACAUAAAAAGAAGCACACAGGAUUGUAAAGGAAACCAAUUUUGAGUAAAGAAGUUAUUAAAUUCUUUUAAAGUGUGCGAUUUUGUAUUGCAUCUGUGUCUCAGUCUGCUAGGGCGGCCGUAACAAAAUCCCACAGGCUCAAACAACAGACACGAAUUGCUUGAAGUCCUGAAGUCCUGAAGUCCGGGAAGAAGCUGACAGCAGCUUCCAUUGUGGGGG
rnacentral:lncRNA from 12 species